rnacentral:rRNA from 1 species
CGGGGAAUUUUGGACAAUGGGGGCAACCCUGAUCCAGCAAUGCCGCGUGUGUGAAGAAGGCCUUCGGGUUGUAAAGCACUUUUGUCCGGGAAGAAAUCGCACCUGAUAAUACCGGGUGUGGAUGACGGUACCGGAAGAAUAAGGACCGGCUAACUACGUGCCAGCAGCCGCGGUAAUACGUAGGGUCCAAGCGUUAAUCGGAAUUACUGGGCGUAAAGCGUGCGCAGGCGGUUGUGCAAGACCGAUGUGAAAUCCCCGGGCUUAACCUGGGAAUUGCAUUGGGGACUGCACGGCUAGGGUGUGGCAAGGGGGGGUAGAAUUCCACGUGUAGCAGUGAAAUGCGUAGAGAUGUGGAGGAAUACCGAUGGCGAAGGCAGCCCCCUGGGAUAACACUGACGCUCAUGCACGAAAGCGUGGGGAGCAAACAGG